rnacentral:rRNA from 1 species
UGGUGGAGUGAUUUGUCUGCUUAAUUGCGAUAACGAACGAGACCUUAACCUGCUAAAUAGCCAGGCCCGCUUUGGCGGGUCGCCGGCUUCUUAGAGGGACUAUCGGAUUUACAAGACGAUGGAAGUUUGAGGCAAUAACA